UACGUAGGGUGCAAGCGUUAAUCGGAAUUACUGGGCGUAAAGCGUGCGCAGGCGGUUCUAUAAGACAGAUGUGAAAUCCCCGGGCUUAACCUGGGAAUGGCGAUGGAGACUGCGAGGCUAGAGUUUGGCAGAGGGGGGUAGAAUUCCACGUGUAGCAGUGAAAUGCGUAGAGAUGUGGAGGAACACCGAUGGCGAAGGCAGCCCCCUGGGUCAAAACUGACGCUCAUGCACGAAAGCGUGGGGAGCAAACAGG
rnacentral:rRNA from 1 species